rnacentral:lncRNA from 1 species
UUUGUUAACCCCAUUUGAGCCUGUACCCUUUGUUUGUCUAACCACAUAAAUUUAACCCGCGACCUAAAACACUUCCUUACCCUGUUCAGAGUCAAUGUGAUGUCAUUAAGCUGUGUUAAAUUCUAAGUUUAGGGUAAACCCCAUAAAUAUCAAAAACCAAGGUGAAUACGAAAAAAAUCUAAGAAGAAAAACGACCAUAAAAAAAUUUAGAAAACGAAAUGUAGUCGAUGGUUCGAAAGAAGCACCCACCGAAGGAAGAGC